CCUUAGUAACGGCGAGUGAACCGGGAAUAGCCCAGCCUUAUAAUCGAAUGGUUUUGCUGUUCGAAUUGUAGUCUGGAGAAGCGUCCUUAGCGACGGACUUGGCCCAAGUCCCCUGGAAAGGGGCGCCGGAGAGGGUGAGAGCCCCGUUGGGCAUAGACCCUGUCGCACCACGAGGUGCUGUCUUAGAGUCGGGUUGUUUGGGAAUGCAGCCCAAAUUGGGUGGUGAAUUUCGUCCAAGGCUAAAUAAAGGCGAGAGCCCGAUAGCGAACAAGUACCGCGAGGGAAAGAUGAAAAGAACUUUGAAAAAAGAGUCAAAGAGUGCUUGAAAUUGCUGAGAGGGAAGCGGAUGGAGACCGGCGAUGUGCCUUGGUUGUAUGCGGAACGGUGAUGAGCUGGUCUGUUUAUAGACUCUCGGUGUCGAUCAACGAGAAUUCAGGUGGCGGUUGAAACCUGGGCAUUUGAAAUGCUUAGGGAAUGUCGUCUCUUGAAUUGUGGGAAGUAGCGCGCGCCCUCGGUGUGCUUAGGCACUUGUGUGCUCCGGUCGUUGGCUUGUGGGCUCUCCAUUCGACCCGUCUUGAAACACGGACCAAGGAGUCUAACAUGUGUGCGAGUUAGCGGGUGAAAAAACCUAUAAGGCUUAAGGAAGCUGAUUGAUGGGAUCCCUCUUUGGGUUGCACCGUCGACCGACCUUGAUCUUUUGAGAAGGGUUCGAGUGUGAGCAUACCUGUUGGGACCCGAAAGAUGGUGAACUAUGCCUGAGCGGGGUGAAGCCAGAGGAAACUCUGGUGGAGGCUCGCAGCGAUACUGACGUGCAAAUCGUUCGUCUGACUUGGGUAUAGG
rnacentral:rRNA from 1 species